CACGUAGGGGGCAAGCGUUGUCCGGAUUUAUUGGGCGUAAAGAGCUCGUAGGUGGUUCGGUAAGUCGGGUGUUAAACCCCCAGGCUCAACCUGGGGACGCCACUCGAUACUGCUGUGACUAGAGUCCGGUAGGGGAGCGUGGAAUUCCUGGUGUAGCGGUGAAAUGCGCAGAUAUCAGGAGGAACACCAGCGGCGAAGGCGGCGCCUCUGGGCCGGUACUGACACUGAGGAGCGAAAGCGUGGGUAGCAAACAGG
rnacentral:rRNA from 1 species